rnacentral:rRNA from 4 species
GGGUUGUGAGGUUAAGCGACUAAGCGUACACGGUGGAUGCCCUGGCAGUCAGAGGCGAUGAAGGACGUGCUAAUCUGCGAAAAGCGUCGGUAAGGUGAUAUGAACCGUUAUAACCGGCGAUGUCCGAAUGGGGAAACCCAGUGUGAUUCGUCACACUAUCGUUAACUGAAUACAUAGGUUAACGAGGCGAACCGGGGGAACUGAAACAUCUAAGUACCCCGAGGAAAAGAAAUCAACCGAGAUUCCCCCAGUAGCGGCGAGCGAACGGGGAGCAGCCCAG